GCAAGUAUAAAGCGAAACUGCGAAUGGCUCAUUAUAUAAGUUAUCGUUUAUUUGAUAGUACCUUACUACUUGGAUAACCGUGGUAAUUCUAGAGCUAAUACAUGCUAAAAAUCCCGACUUCGGAAGGGAUGUAUUUAUUAGAUUAAAAACCAAUGCCCUCUGGGCUCCUUGGUGAUUCAUGAUAACUCUUCGAAUCGCACGGCCUUGCGCCGGCGAUGGUUCAUUCAAAUUUCUUCCCUAUCAACUUUCGAUGUUUGGGUAUUGGCCAAACAUGGUUGCAACGGGUAACGGAGGGUUAGGGCUCGACCCCGGAGAAGGAGCCUGAGAAACGGCUACUACAUCCAAGGAAGGCAGCAGGCGCGCAAAUUACCCAAUCCCGAUUCGGGGAGGUAGUGACAAUAAAUACUGAUACAGGGCUCUUUUGGGUCUUGUAAUUGGAAUGAGUACAAUUUAAAUCUCUUAACGAGGAACAAUUGGAGGGCAAGUCUGGUGCCAGCAGCCGCGGUAAUUCCAGCUCCAAUAGCGUAUAUUAAAGUUGUUGUGGUUAAAAAGCUCGUAGUUGAACCUUGGGCCUGGCUGGCCGGUCCGCCUCACCGCGUGCACUGGUCCGGCCGGGCCUUUCCCUCUGUGGAACCCCAUGCCCUUCACUGGGCGUGGCGGGGAAACAGGACGUUUACUUUGAAAAAAUUAGAGUGCUCCAGGCAGGCCUAUGCUCGAAUACAUUAGCAUGGAAUAAUGAAAUAGGACGCGUGGUUCUAUUUUGUUGGUUUCUAGGACCGCCGUAAUGAUUAAUAGGGACAGUCGGGGGCAUCAGUAUUCAAUUGUCAGAGGUGAAAUUCUUGGAUUUAUUGAAGACUAACUACUGCGAAAGCAUUUGCCAAGGAUGUUUUCAUUAAUCAGGAACGAAAGUUAGGGGAUCGAAGACGAUCAGAUACCGUCGUAGUCUUAACCAUAAACUAUGCCGACU
rnacentral:rRNA from 1 species